UAGGCUGCAACUCGCCUACAUGAAGUCGGAAUUGCUAGUAAUCGCGGAUCAGCAUGCCGCGGUGAAUACGUUCCCGGGCCUUGUACACACCGCCCGUCACACCAUGGGAGUCGGUAACACCCGAAGCCUGUAGUCUAACCGCAAGGGGGACGCAGUCGAAGGUGGGAUUGAUGACUGGGGUGAAGUCGUAACAAGGUAAC
rnacentral:rRNA from 1 species